rnacentral:rRNA from 1 species
ACGUAGGGUGCAAGCGUUAAUCGGAAUUACUGGGCGUAAAGCGUGCGCAGGCGGCUUUGCAAGACAGAUGUGAAAUCCCCGGGCUCAACCUGGGAACUGCAUUUGUGACUGCAUGGCUAGAGUACGGUAGAGGGGGAUGGAAUUCCGCGUGUAGCAGUGAAAUGCGUAGAUAUGCGGAGGAACACCGAUGGCGAAGGCAAUCCCCUGGACCUGUACUGACGCUCAUGCACGAAAGCGUGGGGAGCAAACAGGAUUAGAUACCCUGGUAGUCCACGCCCUAAACGAUGUCAACUGGUUGUUGGACGGCUUGCUGUUCAGUAACGAAGCUAACGCGUGAAGUUGACCGCCUGGGGAGUGCGGCCGCAAGGUUG